UUGUGAUCUGUGUAAAAUAGAAUCCCAGACUGGUUUGGGUUGGAAGGGACCUUAAAGCUCCUCCACCUCCAACCCCUGCCACGGGCAGGGACACCUCACGCUAGAGCAGCUUGCUCCAAGCCCCUGUGUCCAACCUGGCCUUGAACACUGCCAGGGAUGGGGCAGCCACAGCUUCUCUGGGCACCCUGUGCCAGCACCUCAGCACCCUCACAGGAAGAACUUUUGCCUAAGAUCUAACAUGAACUUCCCCUGUUUCAGUUUGAACCCAUCACCCCUUGUCCCGUCACUAAAGUCCCUAAUGAAGAGUCCCUCCCCUUAAAGGCAGCCGCUGUCCCCAGGCAGCCUGGGGGGUUCAGUAGGAACCUGAAAUGUAAAGAAGGAUUUUGCAUGCAGAGGGAAAUGAUAAAAAAUGGGUAUAAAUCUGUGUUUUGUAGGAGGGAGCCUUAAGAUGGGACUUGACGUCUGAUGCGCUGAAGCUGUCAAAUUGAAGCUGUUUUCCCCACACCCAAUGGAUGACAUGGAAAAUAGAAUGAGGACAGGUACUAGGAGAAGAGACAACUGAAGCUGGUUAAGAGCAGCCUGGAAAGCAAAAUGUUUUCAGUAAUAUUCCUUCAUUAAGGAUCUUAAAUGUUUAUUAUGCAUUUUCUGCUAAAGAUUUGGUGGAUCAGAAAUUCACUGCACUUUCAUAUUGAUCAUAGUUUUAUUUUGGUUGCUGUAAAAUGCAUGUAAUUUGUUUCAUUUCAGGACCAUCUGUGCCUAGUAAAAACCUCUUCCAUGAGUA